GGGAGCAAUCAUAUCAGCACCAGUGCACCGGAUCCCAUUAGAACUCCGCAGUUAAGCGUGCUUGGGCGAGAGUUGUAUUAGGAUGAGUGACCCUUGGAAAGUCCUCGUGUUGCACCCU